UUUCCUUAGUUUGAAUCGGUUCAAAUUUUUGAACUAUUUGACGUAUAAACAAACUUGUACGCGUAUAAGUUUUAUUAUGGUUAACAUUUUUAAUAGAUAAACGUUGUGAGUGAAAAAGUGUUUAAUUUCUAUGCUACGUAAAAUCUAACGUUUUUAAUAAAUACAUUUUAAUUUGUUCUAAGUGAAUUUAUCAGAUAUUCUUAAACUUUUUUCGAUACAAUUACGGUAUAUUAAAAAAUGGAUAACCUAUUUGGUAAAGAAGAUUCUGGAAAUGAAAGUGAGCAUGUGGAAAUAGAUGAUAAAGAUGAAAAAUUUAGUAUUUCACAAAAUUCUACAUCCAAGGAUAUCGAAAAUAUGGACAUAGAUGGUUUACCAAUAAAGGGAGAACUGGAUACUAUGAGUUCUCAAUCUCAAUCAGAUACAGAAGAAAUAGGUUCUAAUUCUAUAUGUAUGACGAUGGAUGAUCAAUUGGAAAUAGUAAAACAUGAAAUUGAAAUUGAAAAUAAAGAAGAAGAACAAAGUACAGAAGAUAUUUUUGGCAAUGACAUUAUGUUACCUCGUGUUAAUCAUACUAGUAUUAAAGAAAGAAGGGAAAGUAAAGAAAAAAGUAAAAAAGAGUUAGAAGAAGAGGAAAGGGAGAAAAUGCAAGUACUUGUCUCUAAUUUUACUGAAGAUCAAUUAGAUAGAUAUGAAAUGUAUAGGCGAGCUGCAUUUCCAAAAGCAGCAAUAAAGAGGAUUAUGCAAACUAUAACAGGUUGUUCUGUAUCGCAAAAUGUUGUGAUUGCAAUGUCGGGUAUUGCUAAAGUAUUUGUUGGGGAAAUUGUAGAAGAAGCUUUAGAUGUAAUGGAAGCUAAUGGAGAAACAGGACCAUUACUACCCAAACAUUUAAGAGAAGCAGUUCGUAGAUUAAGACUUCAAGGUCAAAUUCCAAAUGGACGUGCACAUAAAGCAUUUUUUAGAUUAUAGAUAAUAUAUUAUUUCUCCCUUAUAGUUGUGAUAAAAGAAAUAUUUUGUUGAUUGAAAUUGUGUAUAAUAUCGAUUAUAAUAUAAUAAUGAUAAUAUCUAUUAUUGAAUUUGCCUGUUCAAGGCUAUUCAUGACAAGUUUUAUAAUGGUUUUACAAUGGUUUUAAUAUUUUUUUGCACCAAUAAUGAAUGCAAAAAAAAAUUCUUGACAGAUUUUGAAGAACAAAGCUUUAUUUACUCCGCAAAAAUUUGUAUCAAUAAAUGACUUUUUUUCUUUUUUUUUUUCUUUUUUUUUUUAGAAUAGUUCAUACAUAAAAAUAAAGCUUUUUAAUUUUAUAUGUAUAUUUGUUCUAACGAUAUAAAGUGUAUAUAUGUAAUAUUACACAACUUAUAAUACGCGUUAAAUAUAAAACAACUUUGAUAUUUAAUAUUUAAUUUAAUAAUAUAUUAUAUACGAUAUAUAACAAAUUAAUUUAUCUUCUGAGAAAUAUAAUUUUACGUAGAAAAAUUUUUUUCAUACAUUCGAGUAUUUGAUUACGCAGUAACGUGGUAUAACCUAUAUAAACUUAUACAUCGAUGCUAGUAGUGGGGUCGUGUAGUGGGGAUAGUAUUUUCGUGCGCAGUUGUAGUUCGCAUUUCGUCCGUAGCUGUCGCUUAAGUCAGAUAACAUAACCAUACGCUACGAAGGAGUGGUGGUGAACGGACGUAGAAGUGAACGUAUGAUUUGGAUGAUUGGGAUGAUUGGGGCGCGUGGAGUCCUUGCAGUGUAACGUGUGGAUGUGGACAACAAGUUCGUUGGCGUCAUUGUAUAACGGAUGAUUGCAUAAAAGGGUUAAAAAAAGCACAA